CCCAGACUCCUACGGGAGGCAGCAGUGGGGAAUAUUGCACAAUGGGGGAAACCCUGAUGCAGCAACGCCGCGUGAGUGGAGAAGUAUUUCGGUAUGUAAAGCUCUAUCAGCAGGGAAGAAGAAAGACGGUACCUGACUAAGAAGCCCCGGCUAACUACGUGCCAGCAGCCGCGGUAAUACGUAGGGGGCAAGCGUUAUCCGGAUUUACUGGGUGUAAAGGGGGCGCAGACGGCGAUGCAAGCCAGGAGUGAAAGCCCGGGGCCCAACCCCGGGACUGCUCUUGGAACUGCGUGGCUGGAGUGCAGGAGGGGCAGGCGGAAUUCCUGGUGUAGCGGUGAAAUGCGUAGAUAUCAGGAGGAACACCGGUGGCGAAGGCGGCCUGCUGGACUGCAACUGACGUUGAGGCUCGAAAGUGUGGGGAGCAAACAGGAUUAGAUACCCGAGUAU
rnacentral:rRNA from 1 species